rnacentral:lncRNA from 1 species
UUUUAAUUUACUGUUAGAGCAAUGCGAAUUAUGUAUGUGAUAAUACACGGUGAUAGUACAAUAGCAUCUACAAAAAUUACAGCAGAUGGUACAUGUAUUUCAAAAAAUUAAAUGAGUAAAAUAUUGCACUAGGUAAUCGACAAUUAGAGGUACAACUAAAAAUCAUUUCGCGCUACAGUCAUCAUUUACGUUCACACAUUUCAUUGUUUUUAUAUAUAUAUACGACAUUUAUCAGUCACAUGUUAUCUUAUGGUAUCAGCCAACCAUUAUUUGAUCACUUUUUGGAAAGAACGUACCAGAAACAAAUAAGUUUAUGACUUGUUAAUUUUGGGUUACAUGUAACGUUUAUUGUUAAUGGAAUUCAAUAUUUUACAAUGUUCUUGAAAUACAUAGGAGAGUAAAGAGUUAGUACAUCGGAUGAUUGGUAUUAGAGUUUUUGAAUUAUCAAAUUUACAAUGUGAUCGAAUAUUGUUUUGUGUUUUAUCGUUUGUAGUUGUAAUUCUAUUUUUAUUUUCUAUUUGUAUGUAAAAGUAAAGAUAAU